rnacentral:lncRNA from 1 species
CGUGGUCUGCCUUGAUGUCUUAAUUUGCCCUCCUAGAUCCAUGGUCUGACAUCCUUUUUGAAGUCUAUUGUGUAACUCUUUUGUGUGGGAGGGUGGGGGGUGGGAGGUAGGGAUCUUGCAGUUGUUCAGGUUAGCUUCAGCUCACAGCAGUCUUCCUGCCUCGGUCUCCCAAGUGCUGGAACUACAGAUGUUUACUUAGUUUUUACUUAGUGUCUUUGUCCCCCACUGUACGUGAUUUCUGAUCACAGCUGUGCACACACCUUCUUACCUGUGUAGAUGUCUGUAGGGUAUGUAUACUGCUGAGCAUGGAAAAUGCUGACAAGUAAGAUAAGAGUACUUAAGGAGCAUUUGGGGGACAGGGACCAAGCUCAACAAAAUUCUAAACAGACAUUUUGAAACCUUUACAGUAGUUUUCUUAGUUAUAAGGUCUGAUACCAAUUUUACCUAAAGUGUAGAUGGGAAUUCUUGAGACCUGUAUAAAAGCAAACUUUUUUUCCCUAGUGUACUAAAAAAAUGUGUUUCAAAACAUUUCAUUUAAUGUGUGAAGACAUUAUGAAGAUCAGAUGCCUGGUUGCUCUCAAGAGCACCCAACUCUUUAUGCACGGAGAGCUGGCAAGUUCAUGUUCUUAAGUGGGAAAUGCCUAUGUUCUAAGGACUGUUUGGAAGUGUGUUCUACAAACUGCUGUCUAGAAUAAAUACUCAGUGUUUCACC